CCAGUCCGCAGACUGAUGAGAAGAAACUGCUGAUUGCUAUCAGUGGACUGUCUCGUCAGCUUACUCAACAUACUGCCGACAUGAAUGAGAGGUUCACUCAACUGCAGAAUUCGGUAAACUCCAGGUUGCUGUCCAUAGAGGACAAGAUGGCGGCUCUGCAGUCGAAGAACUGUGCGGGAGAGACUAACUCCAAGAAGAGAAGACGGGUGCACAAAAGCUUGCGGUAAGAAUAUAUUUGACUGCUAGCUAAGCUAAAAGUAGCCUAGCCAUAACCCAAAGCUAAGGGUGUAUUUUUUGUGAUUUACAGUACGCCGUCUUCACAACUCGGAGACAAAUUGCAGGCGCUAUGAACCGGCGCAAGGACUAAGCACGCCUCAUAAUGAGGCAGUUACCUCCUAUCUGCUCGGAGCAAUAACUGCAAGCCUCGAUUUACACUAUAUUGAUAAAGACGACAUUGUGUCCGCUUGUAAGACGUAUUACGAGACGGUACGCAGGAGCUUCAGAUAUACGCAGCCAGAGAACUCAAUGCGGGCGGAAGCUGCCAAGAAUUCAGCUCGGAGUCGAGCGAGAAGAAAGAGGCUGCAGGAAUCGAGGCAGAGCGUGCUAGCUGAUGAGGAAGUGGAACUCUGGAUGUCCGCCACCGUCGACCUCAUGUCUGACGAGGAAGAUGGCGUC